AUACAGAGGGUGCGAGCGUUAAUCGGAAUUACUGGGCGUAAAGCGCGCGUAGGCGGCUUGGUCAGUCGGAUGUGAAGGCCCCGGGCUCAACCUGGGAAUGGCAUUCGAUACUGCCAGGCUAGAGUAUGGGAGAGGGAAGUGGAAUUUCCGGUGUAGCGGUGAAAUGCGUAGAUAUCGGAAGGAACACCAGUGGCGAAGGCGACUUCCUGGCCCAAUACUGACGCUGAGGUGCGAAAGCGUGGGGAGCGAACAGGAUUAGAAACCCUAGUAGUCC
rnacentral:rRNA from 1 species